rnacentral:rRNA from 1 species
GACGAACGCUGGCGGCGUGCUUAACACAUGCAAGUCGAACGGAAAGGCCCUGCUUUUGUGGGGUGCUCGAGUGGCGAACGGGUGAGUAACACGUGAGUAACCUGCCCUUGACUUUGGGAUAACUUCAGGAAACUGGGGCUAAUACCGGAUAGGAGCUCCUGCUGCAUGGUGGGGGUUGGAAAGUUUCGGCGGUUGGGGAUGGACUCGCGGGUUAUCAGCUUGUUGGUGGGGUAGUGGCUUACCAAGGCUUUGACGGGUAGCCGGCCUGAGAGGGUGACCGGCCACAUUGGGACUGAGAUACGGCCCAGACUCCUACGUGAGGCAGCAGUGGGGAAUAUUGCACAAUGGGCGGAAGCCUGAUGCAGCAACGCCGCGUGCGGGAUGACGGCCUUCGGGUUGUAAACCGCUUUCGCCUGUGACGAAGCGUGAGUGACGGUAAUGGGUAAAGAAGCACCGGCUAACUACGUG